GACGAACGCUGGCGGCGUGCUUAACACAUGCAAGUCGAACGGAAAGGCCCUGCUUUUGUGGGGUGCUCGAGUGGCGAACGGGUGAGUAACACGUGAGUAACCUGCCCUUGACUUUGGGAUAACUUCAGGAAACUGGGGCUAAUACCGGAUAGGAGCUCCUGCUGCAUGGUGGGGGUUGGAAAGUUUCGGCGGUUGGGGAUGGACUCGCGGCUUAUCAGCUUGUUGGUGGGGUAGUGGAUUACCAAGGCUUUGACGGGUAGCCGGCCUGAGAGGGUGACCGGCCACAUUGGGACUGGGAUACGGCCCAGACUACUACGGGAGGCAGCAGUGGGGAAUAUUGCACAAUGGGAGGAAGCCUGAUGCAGCAACGCCGCGUGCGGGAUGACGGCCUUCGGGUUGUAAACCGCUUUCGCCUGUGACGAAGCGUGAGUGACGGUAAUGGGUAAAGAAGCACCGGCUAACUACGUG
rnacentral:rRNA from 1 species